rnacentral:rRNA from 1 species
AAUAGAUACCCAGGUAGUCCACGCCGUAAACGAUGAGUGCUAAGUGUUGGGGGGUUUCCGCUCCUCAGUGCUGCAGCUAACGCAUUAAGCACUCCGCCUGGGGAGUACGGUCGCAAGACUGAAACUCAAAGGAAUUGACGGGGGCCCGCACAAGCGGUGGAGCAUGUGGUUUAAUUCGAAGCAACGCGAAGAACCUUACCAGGUCUUGACAUCCCGGUGACCACUAUGGAGACAUAGUUUCCCCUUCGGGGGCAACGGUGACAGGUGGUGCAUGGUUGUCGUCAGCUCGUGUCGUGAGAUGUUGGGUUAAGUCCCGCAACGAGCGCAACCCUUAUUCUUAGUUGCCAUCAUUCAGUUGGGCACUCUAAGGAGACUGCCGGUGAUAAACCGGAGGAAGGUGGGGAUGACGUCAAAUCAUCAUGCCCCUUAUGACCUGGGCUACACACGUGCUACAAUGGACGGUACAAACGGUUGCCAACCCGGCGAGGGGGGAGCUAAAUCCGGAUAAAAACCCGUUCUCAGUUCGGAUUGUAGGCUGCAACUCGCCUAC